CAGCCGCCGCGGUAAUACAGAGGGUGCGAGCGUUAAUCGGAUUUACUGGGCGUAAAGCGUGCGUAGGCUGCUAAUUGAGUCGGAUGUGAAAUCCCCGAGCUUAACUUGGGAAUUGCAUUCGAUACUGGUUAGCUAGAGUGUGGGAGAGGAUUGUAGAAUUCCAGGUGUAGCGGUGAAAUGCGUAGAGAUCUGGAGGAAUACCGAUGGCGAAGGCAGCCAUCUGGCCUAACACUGACGCUGAGGUACGAAAGCAUGGGGAGCAAACAGGAUUAGAUACCCCAGUAGUCCCUGUCUCUUAUAA
rnacentral:rRNA from 1 species